rnacentral:rRNA from 1 species
UUACCCCUACGGGGCGCAGCAGUGAGGAAUAUUGGUCAAUGGCCGAGAGGCUGAACCAGCCAAGUCGCGUGAGGGAUGACGGCCCUACGGGUUGUAAACCUCUUUUGUCAGGGAGCAACGCCGGCUACGUGUAGCCGGACUGAGAGUACCUGAAGAAAAAGCAUCGGCUAACUCCGUGCCAGCAGCCGCGGUAAUACGGAGGAUGCGAGCGUUAUCCGGAUUUAUUGGGUUUAAAGGGUGCGUAGGCGGAGUGCCAAGUCAGCGGUAAAAUCGCGGGGCUCAACCUCGCUCCGCCGUUG